UGGCUCACCCACAGUUUCUUGUGGCCAGGCAUCUCUCAGAAUCUGAGACAGUACUGCCAGAUGUCUGCCAGAGAGUGGGGAAGAGAAGGGACUGGAACAGGGCCCCCCUCCAUUCCCUAUCUAUUAGCUGUCGACAUUAUAGUUGCGCAGGCACUUUGGUGACUCUAGAGAACCUCAGGCCAAUCGCACGUCCCCGUGACGGUGACUUUGCAUUCGGAUGUCUGCUCUAUCAACUUUCGAUGCCACUUUCUGCACCAACCAUGGUGACCAUGGGUAACGGGGAAUCAGGGUUCGAUUCCGGAG